rnacentral:rRNA from 1 species
GACAGAGGGUGCAACCGUUGUUCGGAAUUACUGGGCGUAAAGCGCGUGUAGGCGGCUUCGCAAGUCGGAUGUGAAAUCCCACGGCUCAACCGUGGAAGUGCAUUCGAAACUGCAAGGCUAGAGUCCUGGAGAGGAAGGUGGAAUGCUUGGUGUAGAGGUGAAAUUCGUAGAUAUCAAGCGGAACACCGGUGGCGAAGGCGACCUUCUGGACAGUGACUGACGCUGAGACGCGAAAGCGUGGGGAGCAAACAGG